AUUGAACGCUGGCGGCAGGCCUAACACAUGCAAGUCGAGCGGCAGCGGGAAGUAGCUUGCUACUUUGCCGGCGAGCGGCGGACGGGUGAGUAAUGUCUGGGAAACUGCCUGAUGGAGGGGGAUAACUACUGGAAACGGUAGCUAAUACCGCAUAAUGUCGCAAGACCAAAGAGGGGGACCUUCGGGCCUCUUGCCAUCAGAUGUGCCCAGAUGGGAUUAGCUAGUAGGUGGGGUAACGGCUCACCUAGGCGACGAUCCCUAGCUGGUCUGAGAGGAUGACCAGCCACACUGGAACGGAGACACGGGCCAGACUCCUACGGGAGGCAGCAGUGGGGAAUAUUGCACAAUGGGCGCAAGCCUGAUGCAGCCAUGCCGCGUGUAUGAAGAAGGCCUUCGGGUUGUAAAGUACUUUCAGCGGGGAGGAAGGCGAUGUGGUUAAUAACCGCGUCGAUUGACGUUACCCGCAGAAGAAGCACCGGCUAACUCCGUGCCAGCCGCCGCAGUAA
rnacentral:rRNA from 1 species